UAAGUCGUAAAAUCGGUCAGGCGUUAGGAAUUUAUGUUUUAAGAUAGAACAUGUAACUUGAGACGUUUUAGGGGAGAUAAGGAACUCUGAGCUCUCCUUUAAAUCCAUAUACAUACAUACAUACAUAUAUAUAUAGUUAUGACUAUAGACUGAAUAUGUAUAUACGUACAUAUUUUCUGCAGUAUAUAUUAUAAUGGCUUCAUCAAUCGAUGUUAUCGCUUAAUGUUUUCGAUCUCACUAUUAUUUUUUUGUUUUUGAUGUAUAUAAUGAUGAAAGCAUAGUUCAACUGAUUUUUAAUGAAGAAUAUUAAAAAUGUCUUUCGCUCCUAUCUGAUAAAAUAAUAAUAAUAAUAAUAUAUAAUUGUAUUGAAUACAAAAAGAUUUUUCACAUAAAAAUAUACGUACUUGAUGUUUCAGAAAAAGUUUCAUGGAUCAGUGAAUUGAAGUAUUAUUGCAGCUUUAAUUAGAAGCUAAGCACUGGAUUUAAAACUAUAAUAAUAGUUGAAGGGUGCUGGUACAAGAAAAACUGAAUAUUUUAAGUACGAAAAAUUAAAUAUAAAUCUCCAAUGAUAGGUAAAUAACUAUUUCAUUUUAAAAGAUCAAGCAUUACUGAUAAAAAAAUAUUUAAAUUAUUUUAUUACAAUGAUGUAAAACAUUUGCAAUGAUUCAAUGAUUACAUUCCAUUAGCUCUAUCUGAAAGUUAAAUUUCUCUUUCUAUUCACAAAAUAGAAAAAUAUAACUGGUAAACAAUGCAUUUUUA